GACGAACGCUGGCGGCGUGCUUAACACAUGCAAGUCGAACGGAAAGGCCCUGCUUUUGUGGGGUGCUCGAGUGGCGAACGGGUGAGUAACACGUGAGUAACCUGCCCUUGACUUUGGGAUAACUUCAGGAAACUGGGGCUAAUACCGGAUAGGAGCUCCUGCUGCAUGGUGGGGGUUGGAAAGUUUCGGCGGUUGGGGAUGGACUCGCGGCUUAUCAGCUUGUUGGUGGGGUAGUGGCUUACCAAGGCUUUGACGGGUAGCCGGCCUGAGAGGGUGACCGGCCACAUUGGGACUGAGAUACGGCCCAGACUCCUACGGGAGGCAGCAGUGGGGAAUAUUGCACAAUGGGCGGAAGCCUGGUGCAGCAACGCCGCGUGCGGGAUGACGGCCUUCGGGUUGUAAACCGCUUUCGCCUGUGACGAAGCGUGAGUGACGGUAAUGGGUAAAGAAGCACCGGCUAACUACGUGCCAGCAGCCGCGGUGAUACGUAGGGUGCGAGCGUUGUCCGGAUUUAUUGGGCGUAAAGGGCUCGUAGGUGGUUGAUCGCGUCGGAAGUGUAAUCUUGGGGCUUAACCCUGAGCGUGCUUUCGAUACGGGUUGACUUGAGGAAGGUAGGGGAGAAUGGAAUUCCUGGUGGAGCGGUGGAAUGCGCAGAUAUCAGGAGGAACACCAGUGGCGAAGGCGGUUCUCUGGGCCUUUCCUGACGCUGAGGAGCGAAAGCGUGGGGAGCGAACAGGCUUAAAUACCCUGGUAGUCCACGCUGUAAACGGUGGGUACUAGGUGUGGGGUCCAUUCCACGGGUUCCGUGCCGUAGCUAACGCUUUAAGUACCCCGCCUGGGGAGUACGGCCGCAAGGCUAAAACUCAAAGGAAUUGACGGGGCCCCGCACAAGCGGCGGAGCAUGCGGAUUAAUUCGAUGCAACGCGUAGAACCUUACCUGGGUUUGACAUGGAUCGGGAGUGCUCAGAGAUGGGUGUGCCUCUUUUGGGGUCGGUUCACAGGUGGUGCAUGGCUGUCGUCAGCUCGUGUCGUGAGAUGUUGGGUUAAGUCCCGCAACGAGCGCAACCCUUGUUCACUGUUGCCAGCACGUUAUGGUGGGGACUCAGUGGAGACCGCCGGGGUCAACUCGGAGGAAGGUGGGGAUGACGUCAAGUCAUCAUGCCCCUUAUGUCCAGGGCUUCACGCAUGCUACAAUGGCUGGUACAGAGAGUGGCGAGCCUGUGAGGGUGAGCGAAUCUCGGAAAGCCGGUCUCAGUUCGGAUUGGGGUCUGCAACUCGACCUCAUGAAGUCGGAGUCGCUAGUAAUCGCAGAUCAGCAACGCUGCGGUGAAUACGUUCCCGGG
rnacentral:rRNA from 1 species